rnacentral:rRNA from 1 species
CCUACGGGAGGCAGCAGUGGGGAAUAUUGCGCAAUGGGCGAAAGCCUGACGCAGCGACGCCGCGUGAGGGAUGAAGGUCUUCGGAUCGUAAACCUCCGUCAGCAGGGAAGAACGGUCACUGUGCUAAUCAGCAUUGAAUUGACGGUACCUGCAAAGGAAGCACCGGCUAACUCCGUGCCAGCAGCCGCGGUAAUACGGAGGGUGGGAGCGUUAAUCGGAAUUACUGGGCGUAAGGCGCUCGUAGGCGGUAUGUCAAGCCAAGGGUGAAAUCCCCGCGCUCAACGGUGGAACUGCCUUUGAAACUGGCAAACUGGAGUGUGUGAGAGGAUAGUGGAAUUCCAGGUGUAGGAGUGAAAUCCGUAGAUAGCAGGAGGAACAUCGGUGGCGAAGGCGACUAUCUGGCACAUAACUGACGCUGAGGAGCGAAAGCGUGGGUAGCAAACAGGAUUAGAUACCCCAGUAGUC